AAUCUUGGACAAUGGGGGCAACCCUGAUCCAGCGAUGCCGCGUGGGUGAUGAAGGCCUUCGGGUUGUAAAGCCCUUUCGGCGGGGACGAUAGUGACGGUACCCGCAGAAGAAGCCUCGGCUAACUCCGUGCCAGCAGCCGCGGUAAGACGGGGGAGGCUAGCGUUGUUCGGAAUUACUGGGCGUAAAGCGCGCGCAGGCGGUUUUGCAAGUCAGGGGUGAAAGCCCGGGGCUCAACCUCGGAACUGCCCUUGAGACUGCAGGACUGGAGACCGAGAGAGGAGAGUGGAAUUCCCAGUGUAGAGGUGAAAUUCGUAGAUAUUGGGAAGAACACCAGUGGCGAAGGCGGCUCUCUGGCUCGGUACUGACGCUCAUGCGCGAAAGCGUGGGGAGCAAAC
rnacentral:rRNA from 1 species